rnacentral:rRNA from 1 species
AGCAGUAGCCACGGUAACACGAAGGGGGCUAGCGUUGUUCGGAAUUACUGGGCGUAAAGGGCGCGUAGGCGGCCAUUCAAGUUAGAUGUAAAAGCCCUGGGCUCAACCUAGGAAUUGCAUUUGAUACUGUUUGGCUUGAGUUCGGGAGAGGUGAGUGGAAUUCCCAGUGUAGAGGUGAAAUUCGUAGAUAUUCGGAAGAACACCAGUGGCGAAGGCGGCUCACUGGCUCAUACUGGACGCUGAGGUGCGAAAGCGUGGGGAGCAAACAGGAUUAGAUACCCGCGUAGUCCCUGUCUCUUAUAU